rnacentral:rRNA from 1 species
AGAGUUUGAUCAUGGCUCAGGAUGAACGCUGGCGGCGUGCCUAACACAUGCAAGUCGAGCGAUCUUCUUCGGAAGAGAGCGGCGGACGGGUGAGUAACGCGUGGGUAACCUGCCUCAUACACAUGGAUAACAUACCGAAAGGUAUGCUAAUACAAGAUGAUAUAAGAGAUUCGCAUGGAUUUCUUAUCAAAGCUCCGGCGGUAUGAGAUGGACCCGCGUCUGAUUAGCUAGUUGGUAAGGUAACGGCUUACCAAGGCGACGAUCAGUAGCCGACCUGAGAGGGUGAUCGGCCACAUUGGAACUGAGACACGGUCCAAACUCCUACGGGAGGCAGCAGUGGGGAAUAUUGCACAAUGGGCGAAAGCCUGAUGCAGCAACGCCGCGUGAGCGAUGAAGGCCUUCGGGUCGUAAAGCUCUGUCCUCAAGGAAGAUAAUGACGGUACUUGAGGAGGAAGCCCCGGCUAACUACGUGCCAGCAGCCGCGGUAAUACGUAGGGGGCUAGCGUUAUCCGGAUUUACUGGGCGUAAAGGGUGCGUAGGUGGUUUCCUAAGUCAGGAGUGAAAGGCUACGGCUCAACCGUAGUAAGCUCUUGAAACUGGGAAACUUGAGUGCAGGAGAGGAAAGUGGAAUUCCUAGUGUAGCGGUGAAAUGCGUAGAUAUUAGGAGGAACACCAGUAGCGAAAGCGGCUUUCUGGACUGUAACUGACACUGAGGCACGAAAGCGUGGGGAGCAAACAGGAUUAGAUACCCUGGUAGUCCACGCCGUAAACGAUGAGUACUAGGUGUCGGGGGUUACCCCCCUCGGUGCCGCAGCUAACGCAUUAAGUACUCCGCCUGGGGAGUACGCUCGCAAGAGUGAAACUCAAAGGAAUUGACGG